rnacentral:rRNA from 1 species
GACGUAGGAGGCGAGCGUUGUCCGGAGUUACUGGGCGUAAAGCGCGCGCAGGCGGCCCCUGUACGCUGCCGGUGAAAGCUCCCGGCUUACCUGGGAGAGGUUCGGCAGUACGGCAGGGCUGGAGAGUGGGAGAGGUCGGUGGAAUUCCCGGUGUAGUGGUGAAAUGCGUAGAGAUCGGGAGGAACACCCGUAGCGAAGGCGGCCGACUGGACCACACCUGACGCUGAGGCGCGAAGGCCAGGGGAGCGAACGGG